AACGAACGCUGGCGGCAGGCUUAACACAUGCAAGUCGAGCGAGGGCUUCGGCCCUAGCGGCGGACGGGUGAGUAACGCGUGGGAACGUGCCCUUCUCUCUGGAAUAGCCCUGGGAAACUGGGAGUAAUGCCGGAUACGCCUGUUCAGAUUCGAGAUGACAGAUGGCAGAUGACAGAUGCGCAAGCGUUUGGUCGGUCUGCCUUCUGGUUUCUGUCAUCUUCAGUCUGAACAGGGAAAGAUUUAUCGGGGAAGGAUCGGCCCGCGUCCGAUUAGGUAGUUGGUGGGGUAAUGGCCCACCAAGCCGACGAUCGGUAGCUGGUUUGAGAGGAUGAUCAGCCACACUGGGACUGAGACACGGCCCAGACUCCUACGGGAGGCAGCAGUGGGGAAUCUUGGACAAUGGGGGCAACCCUGAUCCAGCCAUGCCGCGUGAUCGAUGAAGGCCUUAGGGUUGUAAAGAUCUUUCAGCUGGGAAGAUAAUGACGGUACCAGCAGAAGAAGCCCCGGCUAACUCCGUGCCAGCCGCCGCAGUAAAAC
rnacentral:rRNA from 1 species